rnacentral:piRNA from 1 species
UCCCUUGUGGUAGCUCCCUGCUGAUGUCCUC